rnacentral:lncRNA from 1 species
UCGCAGUAAUACAAUAAGAGAAAUAAGAUGAGCUAAAACUAGGAGGUACGAGAAUAAAGCAAAAUGAGAAAACUAGGCCUUAGGCCUAACUUUUAGCCAAUUUGACCACCGCAAUAUGUUGCUGAUAGUUGCUGCCACUGAUGCAUUUGGGUUUGAACCCAAGAAUGUUUCAUUUCAGCUUUCUUAAGCUGCUGCCUGCCGAUGUUCAUUUCUGUCAAUUUGAACCCAAAUACUUUCAAUUUGGCUCUUUUUGAGCUAUUGUUGAUGUUGGCUUUUGGGUUUUAACCCAAUAAUACUAGCUUCUCUUUCACGACUUGGAUGAGGUUGACUCAAGAAGAGGAGUAUGCAAGAGAUGGUCCAAUUGGACUCGAACAAGAGAGUUCAUGCGCAAAAUGAGAUAAAAUUAAUAACUUGACAUGAUAAGACUUCACAAAAAUAUUAAACAAAUCAUUUGGAUGCAACAAUGAAUCCUUUCAUCUUGAUAAUAAAUCUAGACACUCAAAUUAUUUAUAAUAAUAAACCGAACCUCACGGGUAAACUUCCGAAUAGGUACGAAACUUUCAAAGAAGCAUGGAUUAGACAUUAUAUACUAAACUUUAUAUUUUGAUCACAACAAUUUAAAUAGGUACAUAAUAUCUAAAAUCUAAUCACAAAGCCUAAACCUAUUCCUAAGAGAAGAGACAAAAUACUAAUUAUCAAC